rnacentral:rRNA from 1 species
CCUACGGGAGGCAGCAGUGGGGAAUAUUGGACAAUGGGGGAAACCCUGAUCCAGCGACGCCGCGUGAGUGAAGAAGUAUUUCGGUACGUAAAGCUCUAUCAGCAGGAAAGAAAAUGACGGUACCUGACUAAGAAGCCCCGGCUAACUACGUGCCAGCAGCCGCGGUAAUACGUAGGGGGCAAGCGUUAUCCGGGUUUACUGGGUGGAAAGGGAGCGUAGACGGCAGCGCAAGUCUGGAGUGAAAUGCCGGGGCCCAACCCCGGAACUGCUCUGGAAACUGUGAAGCUGGAGUGCAGGAGAGGUAAGCGGAAUUCCUGGUGUAGCGGUGAAAUGUGUAGAUAUCAGGAGGAACACCGGCGGCGAAGGCGGCUUACUGGACUGUAACUGACGUUGAGGCUCGAAGGCGUGGGGAGCAAACAGGAUUAGAUACCCUGGUAGUC